AUUGAACGCUGGCGGCAUGCCUUACACAUGCAAGUCGAACGGCAGCACGGGAGCAAUCCUGGUGGCGAGUGGCGAACGGGUGAGUAAUAUAUCGGAACGUGCCCAGUCGUGGGGAUAACGUAGCGAAAGCUACGCUAAUACCGCAUACGAUCUAUGGAUGAAAGCGGGGGAUCGCAAGACCUCGCGCGAUUGGAGCGGCCGAUAUCAGAUUAGGUAGUUGGUGAGGUAAAGGCUCGCCAAGCCGACGAUCUGUAGCUGGUCUGAGAGGACGACCAGCCACACUGGGACUGAGACACGGCCCAGACUCCUACGGGAGGCAGCAGUGGGGAAUUUUGGACAAUGGCGCAAGCCUGAUCCAGCAAUGCCGCGUGCAGGAUGAAGG
rnacentral:rRNA from 1 species